GCGACACUAGCUCAGUUGGUAGAGCGCAACCUUGCCAAGGUUGAGGUCACGAGUUCGAACCUCGUGUGUCGCUCCU
rnacentral:tRNA from 1 species